UUAAGAAUCUUGCGCAAUGGAGGCAACUCUGACGCAGCGACGUCGCGUGUAUGAUGAAGGCCCUCGGGUUGUAAAGUACAACAAAUAGGGAAGAAGCAAGUGACGGUACCUAUCUGAAGCACCGGCUAACUACGUGCCAGCAGCCGCGGUAAUACGUAUGGUGCAAGCGUUGUUCGGAAUUACUGGGCGUAAAGGGUGCGCAGGCGGAUAGAUCAGUCGGAAGUGAAACCUGAGGGCUUAACCCUCAGCCUGCUUUCGAAACUUUCUAUCUGGAGUCCCGGAGAGGCAGGCGGAAUUCCCGGUGUAGCGGUGAAAUGCACAGAUAUCGGGAGGAACACCAAUGGCGAAGGCAGCCUGCUGGACGGAGACUGACGCUCAUGCACGAAAGCGUGGGGAUCAAACAGGAUUAGAUACCCUGGUAGUCCACGCCCUAAACGUUGUAGACCAGACGUUGGAGGUAUCAACCCCUUCAGUGUCGCACCUAACGGAUUAAGUCUACCGCCUGGGGACUAUGCUCGCAAGAGUG
rnacentral:rRNA from 1 species